AAUGACCUACGGGAGGCAGCAGUAGGGAAUUUUCGUCAAUGGGCGCAAGCCUGAACGAGCAAUGCCGCGUGAACGAGGAAGGUCUUCGGAUCGUAAAGUUCUGUUGAAGGGGAAAAAGAGCGGAGAGAGGAAAUGAACUCCGAUUGAUAUUACCCUUCGAGGAAGUCACGGCUAACUACGUGCCAGCAGCCGCGGUAAUACGUAGGUGGCGAGCGUUAUCCGGAAUGAUUGGGCGUAAAGGGUGCGUAGGCGGCCUGCUAAGUCUGGAGUGAAAGGGACCGGCUCAACCGGUAGAGGCUCGGGAA
rnacentral:rRNA from 1 species